CUAUUCUGCUUACUGACAUGUAGACACUGAUACUACAAACCGCAUUACCCCUCCUCUCCACAAUUUGUAUGCAUGAGUUUGCGUAAAGAAAAAAUAUGAUUGAAACGGCUCAAUACAAACCACAUUUAAUCACAUAGGAGCAUAUCAAUAUUUUUUUUAUGAAACAAUUCAAUCCAAAUUAAACCACAUGUCAUUUUAAUAUUCAAAUCAGAUGAUUUUUUCUUACAAAAUCGAUUCAAAUCAAUCUGUAAUCACUGGUUUUCACCAAUAAGGGCAACAACAAAAUCAAAC
rnacentral:lncRNA from 1 species